AGCCCGGAUCUACAGCUAAGGUCCCAAAGUGCGUGUUAAGUGGGAAAGGAUGUGAGAUCUCAGAGACAACUAGGAUGUUGGCUCAGAAGCAGCCACACAUUCAAAGAGUGCGUAAUAGCUCACUAGUCGAGAGGUCCUGCGCCGAAAAUUCACGGGGCUGAAACACGACACCGAAGCUUAGGGAUGGAGAAAUCCAUCGGUAGAGGAGCAUUGAAAACCCAUAGAAGCAGGACUGGAAGGUUCUGUGGAGAGUUUUGAAGAGAGAAUGCCGGAAUGAGUAGCGAGAUGGAGGUGGGAAUCCUCCAGGCCGAAAAUCUAAGGUUUCCAGGGUAAAGCUGAUCUGCCCUGGGGAAGUCGGGGCCUAAGGCGAGGCUGAAAAGCGUAGUCGAUGGAGAACUGGUGAAGAUUCCAGUACCGAAUGAUAUCAGAACUGCGGGGACACAUGGGGGAAGGAAGAGCUGGGAGAGAGAAGACCGGUGCAAGCGCCGAAAGGCGUGAAGCGGAACGAAGAAAAGUAGGGAAGCUUCCGGAGACUGUGGCGAGAAAAGCCGCUAUUGUGUAUCAUGAGCCCGUACCGCAAACCGACACAGGUAGAUGAGGAGAGAAUCCUAAGGCCGACGGGAGAAGCAUUGUUAAGGAACUCGGCAAAAUGACCCCGUAACUUCGGGAGAAGGGGUGCCCACGGGAGUGGGCCGCAGAGAAAAGGCUCAAGCAACUGUUUAGCAAAAACACAGGUCUAUGCGAAACCGAAAGGUAAAGUAUAUGGGCUGACGCCUGCCCGGUGCUGGAAGGUUAAGAGGAGAGGUUAGCGAAAGCGAAGCUUUGAAUUGAAGCCCCAGUAAACGGCGGCCGUAACUAUAACGGUCCUAAGGUAGCGAAAUUCCUUGUCGGGUAAGUUCCGACCCGCACGAAAGGCGUAAUGAUUUGAGCGCUGUCUCAACAAUGCACCCGGUGAAAUUGAAGUACCAGUGAAGAUGCUGGUUACCCGCGCCAGGACGGAAAGACCCCAUGGAGCUUUACUCCAGCUUGAUACUGGGAUUCGGCAGUGUAUGCACAGGAUAGGUGGGAGACUAGGAGGAGAGAACUUCGGUUUUCUCGGAGUCGCUGUUGGGAUACCACCCUUAUGCUGCUGGAUUUCUAACCGAAGGCCGUAAGCCGGCCGCGGGACACUGUCAGGUGGGGAGUUUGACUGGGGCGGUCGCCUCCGAAAGGGUAUCGGAGGCGCUCAAAGGUUCCCUCAGGAUGGUUGGAAACCAUCCGUAGAGUGCAAAGGCAGAAGGGAGCCUGACUGCGAGGGCGACGGUCCGAGCAGAGUAGAAAUACGGACUUAGUGAUCCGGUGGUAUGAAAGUGGGAUUGCCAUCGCUCAACGGAUAAAAGCUACCCUGGGGAUAACAGGCUGAUCUCCCCCAAGAGUUCACAUCGACGGGGAGGUUUGGCACCUCGAUGUCGGCUCAUCGCAUCCUGGGGCUGAAGUCGGUCCCAAGGGUUGGGCUGUUCGCCCAUUAAAGCGGUACGCGAGCUGGGUUCAGAACGUCGUGAGACAGUUCGGUCCCUAUCCGGCGCGGGCGCAGGAUAUUUGAGAGGAUCUGUCCUUAGUACGAGAGGACCGGGAUGGACUGACCUCUGCUGUACCUGUUGGGAAUCGAUCCCACAGCAGGGUAGGCAAGUCGGGAAUGGAUAAACGCUGAAAGCAUCUAAGCGUGAAGCCAACCUCAAGAUGAGAUAUCCCAUCGAAAGAGUAAGACCCCUUUGAGAGAAAGAGGUAAAUAGGGCUGAGGUGGAAGUGCUGCAAAGCAUGCAGCUGACAGCUACUAAUCGGUCGAGGGCUUAUCCAU
rnacentral:rRNA from 1 species